rnacentral:rRNA from 1 species
GACGAACGCUGGCGGCGUGCUUAACACAUGCAAGUCGAACGGAAAGGCCCUGCUUUUGUGGGGUGCUCGAGUGGCGAACGGGUGAGUAACACGUGAGUAACCUGCCCUUGACUUUGUGAUAACUUCAGGAAACUGGGGCUACUACCGGAUAGGAGCUCCUGCUGCAUGGUGGGGGUUGGAAAGUUUCGGCGGUUGGGGAUGGACUCGCGGCUUAUCAGCUUGUUGGUGGGGUAGUGGCUUACCAAGGCUUUGACGGGUAGCCGGCCUGAGAGGUUGACCGGCCACAAUGGGACUGAGAUACGGCCCAGACUCCUACGGGAGGCAGCAGUGGGGAAUAUUGCACAAUGGGCGGAAGUCUGAUGCAGCAACGCCGCGUGCGGGAUGACGGCCUUCGGGUUGUAAACCGCUUUAGCCUGUGACGAAGCGUGAGUGACGGUAAUGGGUAAAGAAGCACCGGCUAACUACGUG